rnacentral:rRNA from 1 species
UACAGAGGCCUCGAGCGUUAGGCGGAAUCACUGGGCUUAAAGCGUGUGUAGGCGGACUUCUAAGUACCUUGUGAAAUCCCACGGCUUACCCGUGGAACGGCUGGGUAUACUGGGAGUCUUGAGCCACCUAGGGGCGAGUGGAACAAAUGGUGGAGCGGUGAAAUGCGUAGAUAUCAUUUGGAACGCCAAUGGUGAAAACAACUCGCUGGGGUUGUGCUGACGCUGAGACACGAAAGCCCAGGGGGAGCGAACGGG